rnacentral:rRNA from 1 species
UACGAAGGGGGCUAGCGUUGUUCGGAAUCACUGGGCGUAAAGCGCACGUAGGCGGACGUUUAAGUCAGGGGUGAAAUCCCAGGGCUCAACCCUGGAACUGCCCUUGAUACUGGGCGUCUCGAGUCCGGGAGAGGUGAGUGGAACUCCGAGUGUAGAGGUGAAAUUCGUAGAUAUUCGGAAGAACACCAGUGGCGAAGGCGGCUCACUGGCCCGGUACUGACGCUGAGGUGCGAAAGCGUGGGGAGCAAACAGG